rnacentral:tRNA from 1 species
AGAGAUUUAGGUUAACCAAACCAAGGGCCUUCAAAGCCCUAAACACGAGUCACCAACCUCCUAAUCUCUG